rnacentral:rRNA from 1 species
CUAUGUGUUGUUGGGUAGGGGAGCGUUCUGUAAGCCUGUGAAGGUGUACUGUGAGGUAUGCUGGAGGUAUCAGAAGUGCGAAUGCUGACAUAAGUAACGAUAAAGCGGGUGAAAAGCCCGCUCGCCGGAAGACCAAGGGUUCCUGUCCAACGUUAAUCGGGGCAGGGUGAGUCGACCCCUAAGGCGAGGCCGAAAGGCGUAGUCGAUGGGAAACAGGUUAAUAUUCCUGUACUUGGUGUUACUGCGAAGGGGGGACGGAGAAGGCUAUGUUGGCCGGGCGACGGUUGUCCCGGUUUAAGCGUGUAGGCUGGUUUUCCAGGCAAAUCCGGAAAAUCAAGGCUGAGGCGUGAUGACGAGGCACUACGGUGCUGAAGCAACAAAUGCCCUGCUUCCAGGAAAAGCCUCUAAGCAUCAGGUAACAUCAAAUCGUACCCCAAACCGACACAGGUGGUCAGGUAGAGAAUACCAAGGCGCUUGAGAGAACUCGGGUGAAGGAACUAGGCAAAAUGGUGCCGUAACUUCGGGAGAAGGCACGCUGAUAUGUAGGUGAAGUCCCUCGCGGAUGGAGCUGAAAUCAGUCGAAGAUACCAGCUGGCUGCAACUGUUUAUUAAAAACACAGCACUGUGCAAACACGAAAGUGGACGUAUACGGUGUGACGCCUGCCCGGUGCCGGAAGGUUAAUUGAUGGGGUUAGCGCAAGCGAAGCUCUUGAUCGAAGCCCCGGUAAACGGCGGCCGUAACUAUAACGGUCCUAAGGUAGCGAAAUUCCUUGUCGGGUAAGUUCCGACCUGCACGAAUGGCGUAAUGAUGGCCAGGCUGUCUCCACCCGAGACUCAGUGAAAUUGAACUCGCUGUGAAGAUGCAGUGUACCCGCGGCAAGACGGAAAGACCCCGUGAACCUUUACUAUAGCUUGACACUGAACAUUGAGCCUUGAUGUGUAGGAUAGGUGGGAGGCUUUGAAGUGUGGACGCCAGUCUGCAUGGAGCCGACCUUGAAAUACCACCCUUUAAUGUUUGAUGUUCUAACGUUGACCCGUGAUCCGGGUUGCGGACAGUGUCUGGUGGGUAGUUUGACUGGGGCGGUCUCCUCCUAAAGAGUAACGGAGGAGCACGAAGGUUGGCUAAUCCUGGUCGGACAUCAGGAGGUUAGUGCAAUGGCAUAAGCCAGCUUGACUGCGAGCGUGACGGCGCGAGCAGGUGCGAAAGCAGGUCAUAGUGAUCCGGUGGUUCUGAAUGGAAGGGCCAUCGCUCAACGGAUAAAAGGUACUCCGGGGAUAACAGGCUGAUACCGCCCAAGAGUUCAUAUCGACGGCGGUGUUUGGCACCUCGAUGUCGGCUCAUCACAUCCUGGGGCUGAAGUAGGUCCCAAGGGUAUGGCUGUUCGCCAUUUAAAGUGGUACGCGAGCUGGGUUUAGAACGUCGUGAGACAGUUCGGUCCCUAUCUGCCGUGGGCGCUGGAGAACUGAGGGGGGCUGCUCCUAGUACGAGAGGACCGGAGUGGACGCAUCACUGGUGUUCGGGUUGUCAUGCCAAUGGCACUGCCCGGUAGCUAAAUGCGGAAGAGAUAAGUGCUGAAAGCAUCUAAGCACGAAACUUGCCCCGAGAUGAGUUCUCCCUGACUCCUUGAGAGUCCUGAAGGAACGUUGAAGACGACGACGUUGAUAGGCCGGGUGUGUAAGCGCAGCGAUGCGUUGAGCUAACCGGUACUAAUGAACCGUGAG